GGCCGCGAUUCGCCCUUCGGGGUGCAGCAGGCGCGAAAACUUUGCAAUGCGGGAAACCGUGACAAGGGAACUCUGAGUGCCCGUUAAAUCGGGCUGUCCAUCGGUUUAAACAACCGGUGAAGAAAGGGCCGGGCAAGACCGGUGCCAGCCGCCGCGGUAAUACCGGCGGCUCGAGUGGUGGCCACUAUUACUGGGCUUAAAGCGUUCGUAGCUGGUUUGUUAAGUCUCUGGGGAAAUCUUCCGGCUCAACCGGAAGGCGUCUCAGGGAUACUGGCAGACUAGGGACCGGGAGAGGUGAGAGGUACUCCAGGGGUAGGAGUGAAAUCCUGUAAUCCUUGGGGGACCACCUGUGGCGAAGGCGUCUCACCAGAACGGCUCCGACAGUGAGGGACGAAAGCUGGGGGAGCAAACCGGAUUAGAUACCCGGGUAGUCCCAGCUGUAAACGAUGCGCGUUAGGUGUAUCGGUGACCACGAGUCACCGAGGUGCCGAAGAGAAAUCGUGAAACGUGCCGCCUGGGAAGUACGGUCGCAAGGCUGAAACUUAAAGGAAUUGGCGGGGGAGCAC
rnacentral:rRNA from 1 species